rnacentral:rRNA from 1 species
GACGAACGCUGGCGGCGUGCCUAAUACAUGCAAGUCGAGCGGACCAAAGGGAGCUUGCUCCUGGAGGUCAGCGGCGAACGGGUGAGUAACACGUGGGCAACCUGCCUGUAAGACUGGGAUAACAUCGAGAAAUCGGUGCUAAUACCGGAUAAUAAAAAGAACUGCAUGGUUCUUUUUUGAAAGAUGGUUUCGGCUAUCACUUACAGAUGGGCCCGCGGCGCAUUAGCUAGUUGGUGAGGUAACGGCUCACCAAGGCAACGAUGCGUAGCCGACCUGAGAGGGUGAUCGGCCACACUGGGACUGAGACACGGCCCAGACUCCUACGGGAGCAGCAGUAGGGAAUCUUCCGCAAUGGACGAAAGUCUGACGGAGCAACGCCGCGUGAGUGAUGAAGGUUUUCGGAUCGUAAAACUCUGUUGUUAGGGAAGAACAAGUGCCGUUCGAAAGGGC